UUAUGACGCUACUGAAGAAGUACGCAGCUGACUACUACGUGCCAGCAGCGUCAGUAAUACGUAGCGAGCAAGCGUUAAUCGUACUACUGUAAUGAAGCGUACGCAGGCUGUUUUUGUAAGUAUGUCGUGAAAGCCCCGGAUCCAACUUAGGAAAUUGCGAUGAGACUGCAAGGCUUGAAUUUGGCAGAGGGGGGUAGAAUUCCAUGUGUAGCAGUGAAAUGCGUAGAGAUGUGGAGGAACACCGAUGGCGAAGGCAGCCCCGUGGGUCAAGAUGACGCUCAUGCACGAAAGCGUGGGGAGCAAACAGGAUUAGAUACCCUGGUAGUCCACGCCCUAAACGAUGUCUACUGUUGUCGGGUUUUAAUUAACUUGGUAACGCAGCUAACGCGUGAAGUAGACCGCCUGGGGAGUACGGUCGCAAGAUUAAAACUCAAAGGAAUUGACGGGGACCCGCACAAGCGGUGGAUGAUGUGGAUUAAUUCGAUGCAACGCGAAAAACCUUACCUACCCUUGACAUGUACGGAAGCUCGGAGAGAUCUGAGUGUGCUCGAAAGAGAGCCGUAACACAGGUGCUGCAUGGCUGUCGUCAGCUCGUGUCGUGAGAUGUUGGGUUAAGUCCCGCAACGAGCGCAACCCUUGUCAUUAGUUGCUACGCAAGAGCACUCUAAUGAGACUGCCGGUGACAAACCGGAGGAAGGUGGGGAUGACGUCAAGUCCUCAUGGCCCUUAUGGGUAGGGCUUCACACGUCAUACAAUGGUACAUACAGAGGGCCGCCAACCCGCGAGGGGGAGCUAAUCCCAGAAAGUGUAUCGUAGUCCGGAUCGCAGUCUGCAACUCGACUGCGUGAAGUUGGAAUCGCUAGUAAUCGCGGAUCAGCAUGUCGCGGUGAAUACGUUCCCGGGUCUUGUACACACCGCCCGUCACACCAUGGGAGCGGGUUUUACCAGAAGUAGGUAGCUUAACCGCAAGGAGGGCGCUACCACGUAGAUUUUGAGGGGU
rnacentral:rRNA from 1 species